CGGCUUCUGAGAGGUGGAGGAGAGGGGUGUGGCAAAGCAGCAAGGAAGGGGGUCUGGGGUCCAGCCCAGCUGGGACAGUGAAGGUUCCCUGUUCAAGGGCACAGUGGAUGAAGUCCCCAAGAGGGAAGUAAAUGCCACCUGUGAUCUGGGAGAGAAAGAGAAUCAAAGGACACAGAAGCUGCUGCCUCCUGCCCUUACCACAGCCAUCCUGGGAACAUCGUUUGUUUGUUUAGUCUUUAGAUCAUUCACUGGCUGAUUCAGUCAUUCCCUGGUUCAUUAUACAUUCAUUCAUUCAUUCAUUCAUAACUCAUUCUUUGUUUCUCUCAUACAUCAACUAACUCACAACUUGCCUUACUCACUGUGACA
rnacentral:lncRNA from 10 species